rnacentral:tRNA from 1 species
AAUACUCUAAUAGUUUACCAAAAACAUUGGUCUUGUAAACCAAAGAGCGAAGACUACACCCCUUC